rnacentral:rRNA from 1 species
AACGAACGCUGGCGGCGCGCCUAAUACAUGCAAGUCGAGCGAGAAGACGUAGCAAUACGUUUGUAAAGCGGCGAACGGGUGAGGAAUACAUGGGUAACCUGCCCUCGAGUGGGGAAUAACUAGCCGAAAGGUUAGCUAAUACCGCGUACGCUCCUCGGACUUCGGUUCAGGGAGGAAAGCGAUACCGUGGGUAUCGCGCUCUUGGAUGGGCUCAUGUCCUAUCAGCUUGUUGGGAGGUAACGGCUCACCAAGGCUUCGACGGGUAGCUGGGUCUGAGAGGACGAUCAGCCACACUGGCACUGCGACACGGGCCAGACUCCG